CCGCUCCUUCCCCUUCCCUCUCCCUGCCAGCGUCACCGCUCUCCCAGCCUAGUCGCUGCCGCUGGCUCUCCCCGUCGCUGACGUGGCCACCGCGGGUGACUACCCGACCACCGGAAGCGCAGCCCUUGUAGGGCGCAGAGUCCUGAGGGCUCCGCGGGGCCGGAAGCCGGGCAACAGCCGCCCGCGGUCUCUGGCCUGGCUCUCAUCUUCCGAACGACUCACCGGUCCCGCAAAGGAGCUUUCACCAUGGGACCGCAUCUCUAAUGCUGAAAAGCAGCUGAAAAUACCCAGGACCACCUGAUUCUCUGACUCAGUGGGACUCAACCCCUGACCUCAGGGGAGUUUCCUGAGCCAUGAAGGAAGACUUGAGCUGAGCACAGAAGGAAACAUGGGAAAGGAUGUUGGUUAUUAUUUUCCCAGCUAUUAUCCUGACCUGAUUACUCUUGUCAUUAUGGGCUCUCACUAAAGCUCAGUUGAGGAUAACACUAAAUGCUACCGAGAAUAACUUCAGAUUCCUCGGAUCCCAUGUUCCUGCAUUAGGUAUUCACACAGAUUAUGGAAGCAGCAAGGCUCCCUUCUGUGAACCACAUGGAUGAAAUGCUCAGCCUCCCUGGGCUGGGAGCCACGCACAGCUGAGAAACACCUUGGGCCCUGAAGCCAGAGCUGGCCACUACGGUACCUCUUCUUUAGAUUCUUCCUCCUGUCCCCAUUUCUUGAGUCUGUCUUUCUCCACACGUUAGCUCCUUCCCCAGGGGGUUUCUGGCCAUCACAACUGUGAUGCCAGCUUCCUGCCUACCCCAGACACCUAGCCACAGGAGGCCCAGCCCAUUAAGGUUUUGCCAAAACAACAUCUGCGGCAGCUCUUCUCUUGUUUUCUGUCUGGAGAUGAAGGGGGUUUGUCCUGGGCUUCAGGGAGUGAGGAUGAGGAGUAUUUACAACGUGUCUGUCCUCUCAGUUUGGGAAAGAGGCAAUAAAUUCAGCUUCAGAUGUGC
rnacentral:lncRNA from 1 species